AUACGGAGGAUGCAAGCGUUAUCCGGAUUUAUUGGGUUUAAAGGGAGCGCAGGCGGAGAUGCAAGCGUGACGUCAAAUUUCGGGGCUCAACCCCGUCUCGCGUCGCGAACUGCGUCCCUUGGUUGCGGGAAGGGGAGGCGGAACUCGUGGUGUAGCGGUGAAAUGCAUAGAUAUCACGAAGAACUCCGAUCGCGAAGGCAGCCUUACGGCCCGUCAACGACGCUCAUGCUCGAAGGUGCGGGUAUCAAACAGGAUUAGAUACCCUGGUAGUCCGCACAGUAAACGAUGGACACCCGCGGUUUGGCCUGUAUGGCUGAGCCGCCAAGCGAAAGCGUUAAGUGUCCCACCUGGGGAGUACGCCGGCAACGGUGAAACUCAAAUGAAUUGACGGGG
rnacentral:rRNA from 1 species